rnacentral:rRNA from 1 species
UUGGAGGUUGUGCCCUUGAGGCGUGGCUUCCGGAGCUAACGCGUUAAGUCGACCGCCUGGGGAGUACGGCCGCAAGGUUAAAACUCAAAUGAAUUGACGGGGGCCCGCACAAGCGGUGGAGCAUGUGGUUUAAUUCGAUGCAACGCGAAGAACCUUACCUACUCUUGACAUCCACAGAACUUUCCAGAGAUGGAUUGGUGCCUUCGGGAACUGUGAGACAGGUGCUGCAUGGCUGUCGUCAGCUCGUGUUGUGAAAUGUUGGGUUAAGUCCCGCAACGAGCGCAACCCUUAUCCUUUGUUGCCAGCGCGUAAUGGCGGGAACUCAAAGGAGACUGCCGGUGACAAACCGGAGGAAGGUGGGGAUGACGUCAAGUCAUCAUGGCCCUUACGAGUAGGGCUACACACGUGCUACAAUGGCAUAUACAAAGAGAAGCGAACUCGCGAGAGCAAGCGGACCUCACAAAGUAUGUCGUAGUCCGGAUCGGAGUCUGCAACUCGACUCCGUGAAGUCGGAAUCGCUAGUAAUCGUAGAUCAGAAUGCUACGGUGAAUACGUUCCCGGGCCUUGUACACACCGCCCGUCACACCAUGGGAGUGGGUUGCAAAAGAAGUAGGUAGCUUAACCUUCGGGAGGGCGCUUACCACUUUGUGAUUCAUGACUGGGGUGAAGUCGUAACAAGGUAACCGUAGGGGAAACCUGC